CAAAUUUGGAGAUAGGAUUUAGGAAAAAAAUUUUGAUUGGAAAUCGAAGAAAGAAUUAACGGAAAGGCCUCAGUAAAAAAAUUUCGGUAGGAAAUUAAAGAUUUUGUCUAUGUUCGCUAAAAUGGACUUCAUUUGUUUGAACAAUAAGUGGCUGAAAUUCAAAAAAGGCCUCGUCGGGACUUCGCCCGACUAAGGCAAAAGGCCCUUCGGGAAUCGCCCGAACGCCCAGUAUGGCCAGUCCAGGCCUGUGAACCAUAUAUAGAUAUGUAUAUUGAUCUCACACGUCUAUGUAUGGAACAAAACUACUUCAUGUUUCGAGGGAAGAUCUAUAAACAACGAUAUGGCACAGCAAUGGGCAAUUCUCUGUCAAGUUUUAUUGCAGAAAUUUUCAUGGCUGACUUCGAGAUGAAAGCUAGCAAAGAUGACAAGUUUCCGAGGAUUUGGAUCAGGUUCAUUGACGAUGUCUUCGUUAUAAUGAA